UACAGAGGUCUCAAGCGUUGUUCGGAUUCAUUGGGCGUAAAGGGUGCGUAGGUGGCGCGAUACGACCGGUGUGAAAUCCUCCGGCUCAACUGGAGGGGGUCACUGGUAACGGUCGUGCUGAUGAGUGCAGGAGAGGGACGUGGAACUCCGGGAGUAGCGGUGAAAUGUGUUGAUAUCGGAAGGAACGCCGGUGGCGAAAGCGACACACUGGGUCUCAACUGACGCUGAGGCACGAAAGCCAGGGGAGCGAACGGG
rnacentral:rRNA from 1 species